CAGAUUUGUCUGUUUUGUUAUCGGAAGUAAAACGGUCAUUCAAGCCAUACCGUUUUGGAUUGCACGUUUGUAUUCUGUAUUUGAAGUAUCUGGAAUUUUUGCUUUAAAUGCCAAACAUAGGAAUCAAACCCAAAAUCAUCUACUAAUAAAAUUUAUGCCGAAGGGUCUGGACAUUGCGGAUCAAGGCAUUGAAACAAAACAUUUGGCAGCAAUUAGCAGAAGCACUCAACUUAGUAGGGCCACCUACGAAGAAUGUAACUGGUAGGGAAAAGGCAUGGAAAAUCUGGAGAAAUGAAGUGAAGGUGAAGUUGAUGGUGGAUAUAGCCGAGAAUAGCGUCGCUGACGGAUCUUAAUGCAUGUGCCCAUUAAACCAGACGGAGCAAAAUAUUGCACUUAUCUGCGGAAUGUUGGGCAGUGUUGGUGUCGAGAUCAUAUCUAGCGACCAUUAUAUGCCUUCAACUUCUGCUAAGCACCACUCAUUGAAUGCUCCGAUGGUCAAAGCCCAAUAGCGAAGAAAACAUCAAGCGAACGCCUAACGAAAUUUAUGCAAGGGGAUAAGGAUUGGAAGCAGGACAUUGGCUGGAAAAUGGACGCUUUAAUCCAAUUACAAAACGAAGCAAAGGAUUUAAAUGCGCAAUUAAUUAAUGGUUUUAAUAACUUAGCGCAUGUGUUCCAGACCUUCAACACAACAUUUAUUGAAAUAAGAAAAAGCCUAUGGAGGAAGAUUGAUGCACUAACACAAUACUUGAUGAACGUUUCUGAUUAACUUUACACACGUUUGUACAUACACGUGUUAGUAAAAAUUAGUUUAAGUUUAUUUUUGUUAGUUUAAUUAGUUUAAGUAUUGGAGAGAAUGAAGACUUUAACUUAAAAAAACUUUUUUUUUGAUAUACAAAUACAUUUUUUAAUUAAAUGCGA